UUCGCAAUGCCCGAAAGGGUGACGAAGCGACGCCGCGUGGGUGAGGAAGGCCUUCGGGUUGUAAAGCCCUGUCAGGAGUUAAGAAAUGUAAGUGCACUAAUAUCGCAUUUACUUGACGAAGGCUCCAAAGGAAGCCACGGCUAACUCCGUGCCAGCAGCCGCGGUAAUACAGAGGUGGCAAGCGUUGUUCGGAAUUAUUGGGCGUAAAGAGCACGUAGGUGGGUUUGUAAGUCAGAUGUGAAAGCCUUCUGUUCAACGGAAGAAUUGCAUCUGAAACUGCAAAUCUUGAGUAUAGGAGGGGAGAAUGGAACUUCUGGUGGAGCGGUGAAAUGCGUAGAUAUCAGAAGGAACGUCGGCGGCGAAAGCGACUCUCUGGCCUAUUACUGACACUGAGUGUGCGAAAGUUAGGGGAGCAAACGGGAUUAGAUACCCCGGUAGUCCUAACUGUAAACGAUGGGCACUAAGUAGAGGGGUUUU
rnacentral:rRNA from 1 species